GACGAACCGUGCAAACGUUGUUCGGAAUCACUGGGCUUAAAGGGCGCGUAGGCGGGUUCGUAAGUCUGUGGUGAAAGCCCCCAGCUUAACUGGGGAAGUGCCAUGGAUACUGCGAGUCUUGAGGAGGGUAGGGGCAUCUGGAACACUGGGUGGAGCGGUGAAAUGCGUUGAUAUCCAGUGGAACUCCGGUGGCGAAGGCGAGGUGCUGGACCCUUUCUGACGCUGAUGCGCGAAAGCCAGGGGAGCAAACAGG
rnacentral:rRNA from 1 species